CCGAUCUUAGCUCAGCUGGAAGAGCGAAGGACUGGUAAUUGUAAUUGUGCAGGACAUCCUUAGGUCGCCUGUUCGAUCCACAGAUCGGA
rnacentral:tRNA from 1 species